rnacentral:misc_RNA from 1 species
GUUAACUUCGGCGACGUCGUCGGCGAUUUCUUUCCUCCUUCUGUCGACGUCGAAUUACAGAUUGAAAGAAGCAGUGAUGAAACCACAAUCGGCAUCUUCUUCACUGAAGAACCCAGUGAAGUUCAGAAUGCCAACAGCUGAGAAUCUUGUUCCUAUCCGUCUCGACAUCGAAAUUGAUGGCCAAAGAUUUAAAGAUGCUUUUACUUGGAACCCCAAUGAUCCUGACUCAGAGGUGGUGGUGUUUGCGAAGAGAACUGUGAAGGAUUUGAAACUUCCUCCUGCUUUUGUCACUCAGAUUGCUCAAUCCAUUCAGUCACAGUUGACAGAAUUUCGGUCAUAUGAAGGACAAGAUAUGCACACUGGCGAGAAAGUUGUUCCCAUCAAGCUUGACCUCCGAGUAAAUCACACAGUUAUCAAGGACCACUUUUUUUGGGACAUGAACAAUUUUGAGAGUGAUCCUGAAGAAUUUGCACGAACAUUUUGUGAAGAUAUGAAAAUUGAAGACCCAGAAGUUGGACCUGCAAUUGCCAUAGCAAUUAGAGAACAGCUUUAUGAGAUUGCAAAGCAAAGUGUCGCAUCCGCGAGAGAAAGCAGGGCUAAUAAGAAAGGACGCAGAGGAAUGGAACAUCCCUCAGCCAGUAAAGUAGGUUUGCCUGCACUGGACCUGGGCAAGCUAUUUAGCAUAAAAUCAAGUGUCGUCCGGAAGAAGAGGGACGCUGAUGCAUAUGAACCAAUUGUCGAUCACCUGUCAAAUGAAGAGGUGGAUGCCCUCGAGGCUAAGGAAGAGAGGUCUGCUCGGUGAUUCAGACAAUGUCUGUUGGAAUGGGUACCAGCAGUGUAAAGGGGAACUUGUUUAAAGUUUUAGAAUGAUCCUAGUCGUAGUAUAAGCCAAAAUCCCGUGUUGUAGAUAAUGUUCAGAUUUUUGCAUUAAUCUGGAGAUCACAGUUACUUCUGUUUAUCAAAAGGAAAUAUGGAACAGCACUUCUGUG